rnacentral:piRNA from 1 species
UCCCCUUCAGUUGCAUGCAUCCCAGUAGU